GGCAUUCGCAGCUACCAUGCAGUCGAGGGGUAUAGGGAGCUUGCUUCCUAGAGACCGGCGCACGGGUGCGUAACGCGUAUGCAAUCUACCUUGUACAGGGGAAUAGCCCAGAGAAAUUUGGAUUAAUGCCCCAUAGUAUUAUUAAAUGGCAUCCUUUAAUAAUUAAAGUUCCAACGGUACAAGAUGAGCAUGCGUCCUAUUAGUUAGUUGGUGUGGUAACGGCAUACCAAGACGAUGAUAGGUAGGGGUCCUGAGAGGGAGAUCCCCCACACUGGUACUGAGACACGGACCAGACUCCUACGGGAGGCAGCAGUGAGGAAUAUUGGACAAUGGGCGCAAGCCUGAUCCAGCCAUGCCGCGUGCAGGAAGACGGUCCUAUGGAUUGUAAACUGCUUUUAUACAGGAAGAAACACUGGUUCGUGAACCAGCUUGACGGUACUGUAAGAAUAAGGAUCGGCUAACUCCGUGCCAGCAGCCGCGGUAAUACGGAGGAUCCAAGCGUUAUCCGGAAUCAUUGGGUUUAAAGGGUCCGUAGGCGGCCUUAUAAGUCAGUGGUGAAAUCUCCUAGCUCAACUAGGAAAUGGCCAUUGAUACUGUAGGGCUUGAAUUAUUGUGAAGUAACUAGAAUAUGUAGUGUAGCGGUGAAAUGCUUAGAUAUUACAUGGAAUACCAAUUGCGAAGGCAGGUUACUAACAAUAUAUUGACGCUGAUGGACGAAAGCGUGGGGAGCGAACAGGAUUAGAUACCCUGGUAGUCCACGCCGCAAACGAUGGAUACUACCUGUUUGUAGCAAUCUGAGUGGCUAAACGAAAGUGAUAAGUAUCCCCCCCUGCUGAGUACGAACGCAAGUUUGAUAUUCACCCCAAUUGAUUGGG
rnacentral:rRNA from 1 species